rnacentral:rRNA from 1 species
GGGAAUAUUGCGCAAUGGGCGAAAGCCUGACGCAGCAACGCCGCGUGAGUGAUGAAGGCCUUCGGGUCGUAAAGCUCUGUCGGGAGGAACGAACGCUCUCGAGGUUAAUAGCCUUGGGAGGUGACGGUACCUUCAAAGGAAGCACCGGCUAACUCCGUGCCAGCAGCCGCGGUAAUACGAAGGGUGCAAGCGUUACUCGGAAUUACUGGGCGUAAAGCGUGCGUAGGCGGUUUGUUAAGUCUGUCGUGAAAGCCCCGGGCUCAACCUGGGAAUGGCGAUGGAUACUGGCGAGCUAGAGUACGGUAGAGGAGAGUGGAAUUCCCGGUGUAGCAGUGAAAUGCGUAGAGAUCGGGAGGAACAUCAGUUGCGAAGGCGGCUCUCUGGACCAGUACUGACGCUGAGGCACGAAAGCGUGGGGAGCAAA